GACGAGGAUAACAGUUGGAAACGACUGCUAAUACUGGAUUGGAAGCGAGGAAGGCAUCUUCCCAGCUUGAAAGGUCCUUUACGGGACUACUUAAAGAGGGGCCUGCGGCGCAUUAGUUAGUUGGUAAGGUAAGGGCUUACCAAGACAAUGAUGCGUAGCUGGACUGAGAGGUUGAACAGCCACACUGGGACUGAGAACGGCCCAGACUCCUACGGGAGGCAGCAGUAGAGAAUCUUCGGCAAUGGGGGGAACCCUGACCGAGCGAUACCGCGUGAAUGAAGAAAUACUUCGGUAUGUAAAGUUCUUUUAUAGAGGAUGAAUGAUGCGUGUAGGAAAUGACACGUAAGUGACAGUACUUUAGGAAUAAGCCCCGGCUAACUAUGUGCCAGCAGCCGCGGUAAUACAUAGGGGGCAAGCGUUAUCCGGAUUUAUUGGGCGUAAAGGGUGCGUAGGCGGCCGUUUAAGUUUGAGGUGUAAGUUCAAGGCUCAACCUUGUGAUGCUUCAAAAACUGGAUGGCUUGAGAGAGGUAGAGGCAAGUGGAAUUCCAUGUGUAGCGGUAAAAUGCGUAAAUAUAUGGAGGAACACCAGUGGCGAAGGCGGCUUGCUGGGCCUUAUCUGACGCUGAGGCACGAAAGCGUGGGGGAGCCAAACAGGAUUAGAUACCCUGGUAGUCCACGCCGUAAACGAAUGAGUACCUAAGUGUCGGGAGAACCCGGUGCUGCAGUUAACGCAUUAAGUACUCCGCCUGAGUAGUACGUGCGCAAGCAUAAAACUCAAAGGAAUUGGCGGGACCUCGCACAAGCGGUGGAUCAUGUUGUUUAAUUCGACGAUACGCGAAGAGCCUUACCAGGCCUUGACAUACCGAGCGAUGCUAUGGAGACAUAGCGGAGGUUAUUCUGGGAUACAGGUGGUGUAUGGUUGUCGUCAGCUCGUGUCGUGAGAUGUUGGGUUAAGUCCCGCAACGAGCGCAACUCUUAUCGCUAAUUGCCAUCAUUAAGUUGGGGACUUUAGCGAGACUGCCAGUGACAAACUGGAGGAAGGUGAGAAUGACGUCAAAUCAUCAUGCCCCUUAUGGCCUGGGCUACAAACGUGAUACAAUGGUUGGUACAAAGGGAGGCAACGCCGUGAGGCCAAGCGAACCCCAUAAAACCAAUCUCAGUUCGGAUUGAAGUCUGCAACUCGACUUCAUGAAGUCGGAAUCGCUAGUAAUCGUAGAUCAGAACGCUACGGUGAAUACAUGCUCGAGGUUUGCACACCCCGCCCGUCAA
rnacentral:rRNA from 1 species